UCGCUUUGAUGACUUUUAUUCCAGCCAUUCGUAGUUUCCACCAGAGGUCGUAAGACCAAAGAUGGUCCAGACCUUCCUUGGAUGUCUGAGCGA